rnacentral:rRNA from 1 species
UACGGAGGGGGCUAGCGUUGUUCGGAAUUACUGGGCGUAAAGCGCGCGUAGGCGGACCUGCAAGUCGGGGGUGAAAGCCCGAGGCUCAACCUCGGAACUGCCUUCGAUACUGCGGGUCUCGAGUCCGGGAGAGGUGAGUGGAAUUCCUAGUGUAGAGGUGAAAUUCGUAGAUAUUAGGAAGAACACCAGUGGCGAAGGCGGCUCACUGGCCCGGUACUGACGCUGAUGUGCGAAAGCGUGGGGAGCAAACAGG